AUUGAACGCUGGCGGCAUGCUUUACACAUGCAAGUCGAACGGCAGCGCGGGCUUCGGCCUGGCGGCGAGUGGCGAACGGGUGAGUAAUACAUCGGAACGUGCCCAGUAGUGGGGGAUAGCUCGGCGAAAGCCGGAUUAAUACCGCAUACGACCUGAGGGUGAAAGCGGGGGAUCUUCGGACCUCGCGCUAUUGGAGCGGCCGAUGGCAGAUUAGCUAGUUGGUGGGGUAAAGGCCUACCAAGGCGACGAUCUGUAGCUGGUCUGAGAGGACGACCAGCCACACUAGAACUGAGACACGGCCCAGACUCCUACGGGAGGCAGCAGUGGGGAAUUUUGGACAAUGGGCGAAAGCCUGAUCCAGCAAUGCCGCGUGUGUGAUGAAGGCCUUCGGGUUGUAAAGCACUUUUGGCGGGAACGAAAAGGACUGUGCCAAUACCACGGUUCGAUGACGGUACCCGCAGAAUAAGCACCGGCUAACUACGUG
rnacentral:rRNA from 1 species